rnacentral:rRNA from 1 species
GGGGAAUAUUGGACAAUGGGCGAAAGCCUGAUCCAGCAAUGCCGCGUGAGUGAUGAAGGCCUUAGGGUUGUAAAGCUCUUUUACCAGGGAUGAUAAUGACAGUACCUGGAGAAUAAGCUCCGGCUAACUCCGUGCCAGCAGCCGCGGAAAUACGGAGGGAGCUAGCGUUGUUCGGAAUUACUGGGCGUAAAGCGUGCGUAGGCGGCGACUCAAGUCAGAGGUGAAAGCCCGGGGCUCAACCCCGGAACUGCCUUUGAAACUAGGUUGCUAGAAUAUCGGAGAGGUGAGUGGAAUUCCGAGUGUAGAGGUGAAAUUCGUAGAUAUUCGGAAGAACACCAGUGGCGAAGGCGGCUCACUGGACGAUUAUUGACGCUGAGGCACGAAAGCGUGGGGAGCAAAC